rnacentral:rRNA from 1 species
GCCACUGCUAUUGGGGUUCGGCUAAGCCAUGCGAGUGGAGGGCGUCCCGCAAGGGAUAGCCCGCAGACGGCUCAGUAACACGUCGUCAACCCACCUUAGGGUGGGGGACAACCUCGGGAAACUGAGGAUAGUCCCCCCAUAGGCGGGGGAGGCUGGAAUGCGCCCCCGCUGAAAGCUCAGGCGCCCUAGGACGGGACGGCGGCCUAUCAGGUAGUUGGUGGUGUGACG